GUCUACACUGGGAGGUUUAAACAGUCUACACCGGGAUAUUCAAACAGUCUACACUAGGAGGUUCAAACAGUCUACACUGGGAGGUUCAAACAGUCUACACUGGGAGGUUUAAACAGUCUACACUGGGAGGUUCAAACAGUCUACACUGAGAGGUUUAAACAGUCUACACUGGGAGGUUCAAACAGUCUACACUGGGAGGUUCAAACAGUCUACACUGGGAGGUUCAAACAGUCUACACUGAGAGGUUCAAACAGUCUACACUAGGGAGUUCAUACAGUCUACCCUGGGAGGUUCAAACAGUCUACACUGGGAGGUUCAAACAGUCUACACUGGGAGGUUCAAACAGUCUACACUGGGAGGUUUAAACAGUCUACACUGGGAGGUUCAAACAGUCUACACUGGGAGGUUUAAACAGUCUACACUGGGAGGUUCCAACAGUCUACACUGGUUGGUUCCAACAAUCUACACUGGGAGGUUUAAACAGUCUACACUAGGAGGUUCAAACCUACAAUACAUUCACACCACUCGGUAAGUAGGUCAUUUUGGAUUUACGACGGAUAUACUAUCAGCAUCCUGUCAUGAAUCUGCCUCCAUGUUCUAUGUAGGAAGUUGAUGAUCAUGUUUUUUGUG
rnacentral:lncRNA from 1 species